rnacentral:rRNA from 1 species
AUUGAACGCUGGCGGCAUGCCUUACACAUGCAAGUCGAACGGCAGCGCGGACUUCGGUCUGGCGGCGAGUGGCGAACGGGUGAGUAAUAUAUCGGAACGUACCCUGGAGUGGGGGAUAACGUAGCGAAAGUUACGCUAAUACCGCAUACGAUCCAAGGAUGAAGGCAGGGGACCGCAAGGCCUUGUGCUCCUGGAGCGGCCGAUAUCUGAUUAGCUAGUUGGUGGGGUAAAGGCCCACCAAGGCAUCGAUCAGUAGCUGGUCUGAGAGGACGACCAGCCACCAUGGAACUGAGGCACGGUCCAGACUCCUACGGGAGGCAGCAGUGGGGAAUUUUGGACAAUGGGCGCAAGCCUGAUCCAGCAAUGCCGCGUGAGUGAAGAAGGCCUUCGGGUUGUAAAGCUCUUUUGUCAGGGAAGAAACGGUGGAGGCUAAUAUCCUUUGCUAAUGACGGUACCUGAAGAAUAAGCACCGGCUAACUACGUGCCAGCAGCCGCCGUAACAC